UGGGGUGGAAGACCAAAAAGUCUAGACCCGACAAACCUCCGCAGAACAUGAGCAUCGUGACUUCUGGAGACAAGCACAGGGUGCCAUAGGCCCAAACAUGGCCGCCUUAACCGACGACUGCUCCAACGUUUCAGAUGAUUUUAUGCUCGGAAUAAAGGCAGAGCCCCACCCGCCCCGAAGGCUCCUCUCCCGGUCCCUCCACAACCGGAAUCGCCACCACUCACCACAGCGAUCCUGAAGGAACUGCUGGUGGGUUCAGCUCACCAUACAGGCCGACAUUACCCAGAUACGCAAAGACCUACAGGGCCUGACUGGCCGCAUGAACAUACUGGAGCAAGAUUCCAACCAGAAUACCAAACACAUCAAGCACCUACAACAAGCAGUACAUGAACUGCAGAUGCAGAACCUUAAAUACGACCUAAAAUUUGCAGCAUUAGAAGACCAGAGGCGAAGCAGAAAUAUUAAGAUCCAGGGGAUCACAG